rnacentral:rRNA from 1 species
GACAGAGGGGGCAAGCGUUGUUCGGAUUCACUGGGCGUAAAGGGUGCGCAGGUGGGUUUGCAAGUUCGAUGUGAAAGCCCCGGGCUUAACCCGGGAAUGGCAUUGGAUACUGCAGAUCUGGAGGAUCGGAGGGGGGACUGGAAUUCUUGGUGUAGCAGUGAAAUGCGUAGAUAUCAAGAGGAACACCAGUGGCGAAGGCGAGUCCCUGGACGAUACCUGACACUGAGGCACGAAAGCUAGGGGAGCAAACAGGG